rnacentral:rRNA from 1 species
CACGAACGCUGGCGGCAUGCCUAACACAUGCAAGUCGAACGAGACCUUCGGGUCUAGUGGCGCACGGGUGCGUAACGCGUGGGAAUCUGCCCUUAGGUUCGGAAUAACUCAGGGAAACUUGAGCUAAUACCGGAUGAUGACUUCGGUCCAAAGAUUUAUCGCCUAAGGAUGAGCCCGCGUAAGAUUAGCUUGUUGGUGAGGUAAAGGCUCACCAAGGCUACGAUCUAGUCUGGUCUGAGAGGAUGAUCAGCCACACUGGGACUGAGACACGGCCCAGACUCCUACGGGAGGCAGCAGUGGGGAAUAUUGGACAAUGGGCGAAAGCCUGAUCCAGCAAUGCCGCGUGAGUGAUGAAGGCCUUAGGGUUGUAAAGCUCUUUUACCCGGGAUGAUAAUGACAGUACCGGGAGAAUAAGCUCCGGCUAACUCCGUGCCAGCCGCCGCAGUAAU